AGAAUCAACGCUGGCGGCGUGCCUAACACAUGCAAGUCGAACGAGAAAGGGGAGCAAUCCCUGAGUAAAGUGGCGACCGGGUGAGUAACACGUGACUAACCUACCCUCGAGUGGGGAAUAACUCCGGGAAACCGGAGCUAAUACCGCAUAACAUCUUCGGAGCGCGAGCUCUGUUGAUCAAAGGAGCAAUUCGCUUGAGGAGGGAGUCGCGGCUGAUUAGCUAGUUGGCGGGUAAUGGCCCACCAAGGCUUAGAUCGGUA
rnacentral:rRNA from 1 species